rnacentral:rRNA from 1 species
ACGCUCGACACCUACGGGAGCAGCAGUGAGGAAUAUUGGUCAAUGGGCGCUAGCCUGAACCAGCCAAGUAGCGUGAAGGAUGAAGGCUCUAUGGGUCGUAAACUUCUUUUAUAUAAGAAUAAAGUGCAGUAUGUAUACUGUUUUGUAUGUAUUAUAUGAAUAAGGAUCGGCUAACUCCGUGCCACAGCCGCGGUAAUCUGAGCGGGCGUGGCAAGGC